UACAGAGGCCUCAAGCGUUAGGCGGAAUCACUGGGCUUAAAGCGUGUGUAGGCGGGUCGUUAAGUACCUUGUGAAAUCCCACGGCUUAACUGUGGAACGGCUUGGUAUACUGGCGAUCUUGAGCCACUUAGGGGCUACCGGAACAGAUGGUGGAGCGGUGAAAUGCGUAGAUAUCAGGAGGAAUACCAGUGGCGAAGGCGGCUUUCUGGGCCUACCCUGACGCUGAGGAGCGAAAGCGUGGGGAGCAAACCGG
rnacentral:rRNA from 1 species